UACGAAGGGGGCUAGCGUUGCUCGGAAUUACUGGGCGUAAAGGGCGCGUAGGCGGUUCUAUAAGUCGGGCGUGAAAUUCCUGGGCUUAACCUGGGGGCUGCGCUUGAGACUGUGGGACUUGAGGUCAGAAGAGGGUCGUGGAAUUCCCAGUGUAGAGGUGAAAUUCGUAGAUAUUGGGAAGAACACCGGUGGCGAAGGCGGCGACCUGGUCUGAUACUGACGCUGAGGCGCGACAGCGUGGGGAGCAAACAGG
rnacentral:rRNA from 1 species